CAAGGACUCAGGUGAAACUCCCGAGUGGCUCUUCCGGCCGCCGAUCCGCCGGACAACG
rfam:Rhizobium sp. Leaf306 contig_1, whole genome shotgun sequence.